UGGCAUGUCCGACAGCAUUCUAGAGAGUGAACUCACCCCGCACACACGCCCUUCUGGAAUAAUAUAGCCAGGUUCUAAGCAACAGUGGUAUUGUCUGGAAAUAACUGUUGCCUUCUGCCAUCCUUGUAGACAGCCGGACUCUUUGCCGUAUCAAAGGGUUUGAAAGUUGCAGUGAGUGUCUUUGGGCACGGAGAGAAAAACACCGUUCAAAAUUCCUGUCGCUCACCAGCUUUCUUACCUGAAAACUUUAUCCCUCCGGAUUGCUUUCACUCCCUUCUGUUAGCAAGCAGGAUUUUAAAAUGUUGCAGUUCCUUGUAUUUUAUACAAAGGAAUCUUUCAGGCAAAGCUGUGUUUUACAACAUGCCCUGCAGCAGAGUAAAUUGUUUUAUUGUGGGUUUUGGGGAUGAAAUAUACUGUUAAGUUCCCUCUGUGCCUCAGCAACAGAAGAUCUGCAAUAAAACCUCUACUUCUAGCUCUGUUUGGGCUCAGCAUCCUGAGCUCUUCUGAAAAUCUUGCCUCUGCAAACUAACUCUUCUGUCACUCUAAAAAAUACAGGAAUGGAAACAGAAAGUUUUGACAAAGCCAUUUGUUCAUGUGCGGAUUUUGGCAGCAGUGUUCACAGCUACCAUUCAGCUCUAUCACAGGUAGUUGUGCCAGUAGCUUGGCUUUGAAGGUUUCAACUUUGGUAUUUUAGGAGGAUGGAAACAAACAAACAAACAAGAUGAAGGAAAAAAAAUAGGAGGAGGAAAGAUUGUAGGAGUCAGAACUGCUUUGGGUCUACCGGCUGUAUGGAAAUGGAGUACUCCAGGGCUGUUCCCAGUUUAUAAACAUGACUGUGGUAUAGUUUUCCCAAAGAUUUAAUCAGCUCUUUCAGGCAAGCACCACGUAUCUGAAAGUGUGAUCCCGCGUGCUUGAAUUCACUACAGAAGUGCGCUGCAGGAUUCCCUCUGCCUAGAUCCACACCAGCAGCGAUCCGGAUGCACUGAGACACCCUGGAUCUUCCCUUUCUCAGCCUCAGGGCUGUGUCACCGGGUCCAUGGGAACUGGAAGUAAAUGGAUUGCAACCAAUGGAUCUGCACCCAAAAGUUAAUGAAGCUGGUCACCCUGAGCUUUUUCCAUGAGGGACCGCGCGACUCACAGUGUCCCCGUGCUGCGGGGAUGGGAACCUCCGAGAGCUCCCGAACGGGAGGAUAAGUCUUUUCUCCUGAUAAAGAGCACCAGGCGCUGGAGACUGCGUUGCUGGAAAGUCCUGUUGUUUCAGAUGAGCUCUGCACCUGCACGUGUCGUGUCCCACAGCUCUGUCCUGCGUGUAAGCGUGUUCCCGGGUAAAGAGCUGAGAGGCCUCGAGGGAUCUGCAGUUUGACCACUGGCUCCUAGGUGGGGUUUCCAUAUGGGAUCCUCACCCUCGGAUUGCGGGAGAAGGACCCAGCAGCAGCCUGUGGCCUCAGACUGAUGGAGACUGCAGAGAUGCCCAGGUACCACGGGACGGGUUCCCACUUUGUGCCUUGGCUCCUAUUGCUGCUAGGAUUCGCGCGUGGUCUGAAGUGCUGCAGGGAGCAAGCCAGGGGAUCCCCGUGGAGCCACAGGAGGGAGCCCGGGAACAGCGAGGGACUGCGUGAAAUCCUCCUUUAAGGUGUUUAGUUUCAGGAGAGUCGUGGGAUCAGACCGUGACCCCCAUCACACUGGAGCAGUUUCCCGUGGGUGAAUGAAUUCUGCACUAAAUGCUGAUCCUGCAUGUAAGAAAUCUGGCGUAACAAGAGAAAAGCCCUGCAGAAGUGGGGAGCCCAAACCCACCACGCUCCGCGCAGCCUCUGUGGUGGGAGAGCAGCGGAGGCGGAUGCUCAGCCAAGGGGAACCAGCCAUGGAUUCAUCACCCUCACGCCGACGUGGACAGACUGAGCCGAACAGGGUUAUUUAACUUCUCCUCCAGCCGGCGGAGCAAGACACAGGGAGGCAAGUGAGAUCCCAGACACUGGGAGAGGUCCUGAGUGAGCCGCGGAUCCCACGAUCGGUUACAUUUCCUGGUUACCUCUGCGUGGCCACACAUUUCUGGAUGGAAUAAAGGUCAUUGCAGAACUUGCCUCUGCUGCUGUGGAGCUCCUCCAGCUAAGAGCCGGGAACAAGGUGAUGUUACAAAGCUUUAUCACCCCUUCCAGAAAAGGUGGUGACUCUGGAGUCAAACCGAUGUCUGUGCUCCCAGGGAAAUAUCCAGACAUGACCUCACCCUGGACAAGGCCCAUUCCAGGACCUCCUGCAAAACGUCGUGGUGAUGUUGCCCCUUCCAGGGUCUCUUGCCAGCUCAGAGCCAGCUCUUGAGCAACGCCCGGUGAUGAGAGAGGAGAAGAAACGCGUAUCCGUCAAUGCACAGCGCUGACGACGUCGGAAGCGUCCUCGAAAAUGUUUUCUUCCAUGGCCAGAUGUGUCCAUGCUGAGUUUGAAUUCCAGCCGUUGUAUGAUGACCGUCCACUGAACCGGACUAGGAAACCAGCGCUGCAAGAAAACACAGCACUCAGUAACUGGGACUGAAAGUUAGAAAUGGCACAGAAAAAUGACAGAGAAAGCCUUCCAGCUGAAAAUCAUACGUUUUACAUAGCUGUGCUGACAGUCUCCCUGUCCAUGCUCUGUUGGAGGAUAAAAAGAAAUUCAUCAUUAGGCAAAUCUGGUACUUCCAUAAGAAACUGCGCCAAGUGGGAUCUGUGAACUGCAGGAUUUUGUUUAACAGCUAAACUAACUCUCUACUCAUCCCAUCCCAAGCGAAUUAGGCAUCCAGUUUCCUCCUGAGUUCCUUGGGGAUUGAGCACACAGGGAAAGAUUCAUCUGGGGAAUUCCAGUGUAAUUUCUGGAGGCAAUGGCCACGCAUUGGUGUGUUGCCAUGUUAUUCUCUUUGUUCUUCUUAUUAUGUGGUUGCUUUUUCUCGUUGACUGUCCUACGGGAUAAUCCACCUGCUGAGUGCAGUGCAUGGUACCAGGGAGCAUUAAGCACUUGUCUCUCUUAUUCUCCAUGCAAAAAUGGAUUGUGUGGAAAUCUCAAUGGCCAGAGCCAGCCUGGUGCUCAAGACAUCCUAAUAAUUGCACUCCUGCCCUUCCAGCUCCUUCUUAGCUUCCUGCAGAGAGCAUUUUGUUUUCCUCCUAGGCGUUUUUGCAAAGACAGCCACCAAGCUGUUCAGCAUCGCAAAUACCUGUCUGCAGACAGGCUGCCUGUCAAAGGACUGACGGGCGGCUUGACUUUCCCUUUAAUUACUGAGCGUGACAACUGUGGCUUCGCUGUCCUCAUUUCAAUUAAGGCUUGGCAAACACCAGAGGCCUAGUGCCCCUGAAGCAUCAUGCCCCUUUCGUGUGACUGCUUUCAAGUUAAUGCAAGAGUACACGAUAAAAAGAACAAGUUGCUCAUGAGAUUGCUACUGGGUUUGGCAUAAUUGCCUGCUGCUCUGCACAGGUUUAUCACCUCCUUCCCACUCAAAAUCACAAUCACUGGCACAAGCAGAGCAUCGCAGGGAGCUCUCAUCAUCUCCAAAGCCGAAGAUCUUGGAUGCUGAGUGCUCAGGCAGGUUUCUCAGUUACAUUGAGUCCUCCCACCUUGACCCCAGAACUUUAAAAGCACCUUAAAAUGUAAAAUAUGUUAUGCUUUACCCCUCCAAAGCCUUGAUUUCUGCUCUGCUCCAAAACCAGUGCUGGGGUUUUUGAACAGCCUGUGCCUGUCUCUCAUCUGUUGUCCGUUUUCACGGUGAUGGAGGUGUUGCAAAGCUUGUGCCUAAAGGUUGCAAAAAGUUGCGGUCAGGAGCGAUUCCCCCUUGUUUACAUCAUUCUUGGGGAAAUGUAGAACUAAUUGUAUAAUGUGAGUGCUAAUCCUGCAGCUAAAGUCCAACCUGGAGUGAUUCAUCAGUGAGGAAUAUACCAGCCUUGCUUUAAUCCAGGAAAAGGAAAAAUCUACCUACAGAACUGGACCGUAUCCAACUAACAUUGGGUGUAGAUGGAGGAUUCCCCACUGCAGCAUGUGGGUAGCACAGAGACCUACCUGAAUCCUGAAGAAUGUCUGUGGGACUUUUCGUUCCCAUGUGCAACUAGUACACAAGCCCAAUUUGCAAAAAUUUUGGAGAAGUAGACAUUCCAGCUCAGAACCCCAUUUUUUCUACAGCAAACUGGAUUGUACUGGAGAAGAGGGUGUUUCCAGGAAAAACACACGCUGUGUUUCCCUGGGGAUGGAAGGGGAGGAAUUGCUACCACUUCAAACACACAUCUCAGCAGUUCUAGCUCCUGCCUCAACAAAUCCGCCUUCGCCUGCAGUUCUGUUGCGGCAAGGAAUAUACUGUCCAUCGACACAGGACAAGCCACAUGCAGACAUGGAGAAGUUCACACCGAACAAGCCAAUUGUGUCACGUUGUUGGUUUGGGUUUGGGUUCCUUCUGAAGAGACUUGCAGAUCACAUUGUCUGAGGUUAGGAGUUUCCUCCAGCCAUCUCAAGCAAGCAAGCUUGAAAAAAAGCAGGAAGAAAAAGUUAAGCCUUUGCUUGCCUGUGUUUUGAGAAGAGCAGACCUGAAAGGAUGCCAUUAGUUUUUAGGGAUUCACAGGCCUCCAGGUGAGAAAAAGUAAUAAUGAGAAAAGCAGUGACUGGCUGAUAGCAAGGAAAUACUGUGCUGUGCGAUAUUGAUCUGCAUAUACUUCGUGGGGAUAAAUGAAGGAAUGGUCCCUGUACGUGCCUACAUCUUCUCCUUUCCUCACCCGCUGGAGCAUCACAAACUCACUACCUGCAUCUCAGUCUUUUCCGAUUUCCAGUUCGUAUUUUCUGGGUUAUAGAACAGAAACCCUGAAAUCCUGACCAAAGGCAACCAAAAAGUUUACCCAGACUCAGCUUCAGCCACUGAACACAAAAGUCCAUGAUUCACUUUCUUCUAAUGCUGCUGAGUUGAAGCAGCCAAAUAAAAGCGAAGGUUUAACUUAAAAAGGAAGGAAGUUUUAUUAGGCAGAGGCGUGAAAGAUCCAGCAUGAUCCUAUACUGUUUGUACCCAAGGAACUGGGAAAUCCUCCAUCCCACGGGCUGUGUUCGGGCCACGAGCCCAGAAUAUCUUGCGCUUACCCAGAUCCACAUGUUUUCAUGAGAGAUGUCUGACAAAGUUUUCCUCCUCCCUCCUGCUAGCAACAUCAACCACAUCACAAGCAACAGCUUGCUUUUGAGUACAGCGUGGAUUGUGGAGCUGUCCGUCUGCGAGGAAUGAGGCUGAGUGUUCACAGGAGAAACUAAUUACCAGCUAAUUUCUUUACCUGCACUCAUCCACCGUCUGCUCUGCGGCAGGCUCCUUGUGUAUCGUGUGUUCCCGCCUGCCGUGGAAAAGGUUUAUCCGCUUCCUUGGUUUCCCUGUGUGGGCAGAUCGGUGUGCAGCCACGGAUCCCACCGGGGCACAGCACUGUCUACUGGGAGUAACAAUAAUAGUAAUGGUACUACUAAUAAUGUAGUCCUAAUUACAGCAAACAGCGUUUUCGUUCAAGAAUAGAAAGCAAGGUAUCAGAAAGGCGUCCAGGAGUCAGAAAGGGGAAAUAAAACCGCUUGUACUUUCUGGGAGCUAGAUGCGCAGCUCGCAAAUUGGACAUCUGAAGCCAAAAAAGGGCGGAUGAUACUUGAUAAUGAUAAAAAGGGUAAAACAAUUUAAAAAAAGGUAAAAAUGUAAUAAAUUUAUGUCCACAAAGUCAGGCCACAAAAAUGCAAUUUCUGUCCCCCAGGAAAUUCCAAGCUAUUCAACCCUCCCUGGGGACACACAUGGGACAAAAAGCUGAAAUUACAAAAGGCUUUAUUUUUUUAAGUGGGAUAUUCCAAACCAUUUCUUUCUGAGGUGGCCAGGGACUUCCCAGUUUGCCUCUGUAGGGUGUUCACCAUGGCGUAAAGCAAAGUUCCUGCUCUCACCUUGUCAGUCAAGCAGGUGAAUUUGGUGCUGAGAUUUCUUCAUCUAUCUAUUUCGUAGUCCUCUGCUUCAGCUCCAGAGCCACAGCAUCACUGGAAGCUUUCGUCUAUGCCGAUGCUGUGGCUGUUAUCACCAACUGCAGGAUCAGUGUGACCUCCAGGAUCACCACCCUGAUUCUUCUUACAAACUCCUCGGUGGCUAUAAAUGCUAAACUUUCUGCACUCACGGGGGUCCUGUGACCUCUGAGAUGUUUAAAGCUAAACUGUGAUACUUAUGUCCCUGUCUUGUGCCACCUCAGCUGCUUCCCGCAUACUGUCCACCAUCAAAGUCAUUGUCCAGGCUUACACAGGGACCAAAGGGAGCUCCUGUUCCAGCAGAGCCGCCGAGUUUCUUGCUGUCACUACUCAUUCCCUGUCCUCUUCCACCUGGGAAGUAUCCAAAGGCUGCAUAAGACUGGAGCCUACACAGCUCCCGAGCAGCAGCAAAGGCGAAAGCAAAGACCUGUUGUCCAGUGCUCGAUCUCGGAGCCUCCAUCCGUAGCUCGUUCCAGGCAAGGAGCAAAGGAGAAGGCACCUAUGCUGCAGGGAAGGGGCAGAGCAGAAGGGGGAAGAGCCCCUCCAGUGGGACACUUUGAAAAUAUCCCCCAUGUGAGUGUCAGAGCUUGGGCAUGGUUGGAGGAGAUAAACAGUUUUGAACUUGCACGGUUUGGUUUGGCGACUGGUAAUUAAUAUUUAGUUUUGACGUGAAAAACCAUUGCAGUAGCUAUCGCACACAUACGGAGAGUAAUAGAUGCAGGUAAUAGCAGGUGACAGCGCUUCACUGACAAUCUUGGCUCGGAGAAUGUUUCCUUGUUUGAUGUAGUCCACUCACUAAGGUUAAUUACCAGUUCAAAUGUUUACUUUUAAAAGUGUGGUUUUGCAGUCAACUGCUGGGGUUGUGCCAUUUCUUCCGCCUUGUACAGGAGGGACAUGCUGUGCGGGAUGGCACAGGGACACCUUGGAGAUGUAACGUGUCUCUGCUCCUGCUACCGCCUCUUCCUCCUCGUCCCGUGUUCUUCUCUUGGUGAUUUAGGGCAGAAAGCUGCAGGAGAUGAGUCACCUUUUCCAGGCUGUAAAUUAAGUUCAGGGUGAGUGGGUCAGUGCCACCGAUCUUGAAAGGGACACGUCACCUCCGAGCUGCCAGUCUGCCCUGUGGGAGGUGGAGGAAAGCGGGACCGUGCACUUAGUCUAGAUGGCCAUGCUUCUUCCUCUUUCCCUUGGCUGUAUUAAGUUUCGGCUUAGACUGGUCAUAUUGGUCAGGCAAAACACCAAAACCAAAACAUUUCAUAGGAAAAAUUACUAUAAUGGAUUUUUUUUUUUGUACUAAAAGAACUGAGCAGAAACUUUUCUCAAUUAUCAGGUUUUCUGUGAAUAUUUUUAAAUGACAGAAAAUCCAGUUCCCCAGCUUAAAACAACUAUUUGUUUAAGAUAAUUGCAGUUAGAAAGAAGAGCCAAAAGAAUCAAAAAGUGGUCAGAACAGUCCCUUUAAAUGAUUGUAACAAAGCUCUUUAGGUGACACAAGUUCACUUAAAGUUAUAGUAUGAUUUUGCCAUUUUGCCAUGAUUCAAAAUGGGAAAAUUGUUUUAAAAUUAAAAAAAAAAAAAGUGGGAAAGGAAAAUAGUAGUAGCUUAGCUUUCAUUUAUGUCUCCCUUUCAACUCAGGAAAUGUUCCCAGCUUCUUAGAGCUUGUAAUACAAGGCUUAAUGAAUGCUUUGAAAACCAUCUGAGAUUAACCUUUUCCUUUUGCUAUGGUGACAAAAUCUAAAGACGUAGCCCAUGCAGCUGCAGCCAUAGGAAAAAAGAAUAGCAGCCUUUCUUUCCCUCUUUGGUUUGCUAAAAUUAUAGCUAAGAACAUUUGGGUGUUGACUCAAGCCCUAGGAGGAAGGGUCCUGCCCUUGUUUUGGAACAGGUAGGAUCAUCUUUCUUUCUUCUCUCUAUUAUUCAGUCUACUAAAAGAUCGUGAUGCUCCCAUUUGAAUUAGCCAGUCGCCUCCUGCUUCCUUGGUUUGGAUGGGAGAAGGACUCACCCUUCGUAACAUGAGGAGCCUCUUUCAGAUUCCCAUCUGCAGUUCACCCCUGAAGCAAGAGAAACAGGCAAAACCCUGGUGCGAAUUACCCUUCUCUCCACCAUAUCCCAGGCUCAGCUUCCUCUUUGGCCUUGUUGUCUGGGGACACUAAAACCUUGACUUCACAACGUUAAUGGUCAGGAGGAAGAAGCUCCAGAAGGCCUGGGGCUUGCCCUCACCCCUUUGAGGCUGGAAACAUCAUGCAAAGCGGAUUCCUGUUUUGCCGGGCCACGGAGGGAAUGCAAGCAAGGACAGGACUCGCCAGGCGAGAAGAUCCGCAGCGGCGGUGAGAACUAACCCCGGGUCCCAAAGCUGUGGGUUUCUCCACCUUCUCUUUCCCAAGCAACCAUCUUCUUUAGCAACAACAAAACCCGACAAAAAGCAGCUUCUGCUCAGCCUCUGAAAGAAAACCAAGCCUAGUAUCUCCAGCUGUGGGACCUAGUACCUCUGGCGAGGGGACGGUCGUGUCUCCUCGUAGCCCCAAGGAAGAAUAAAGCUUCGAGCCAUAGUGGUUCCUAGACAGCUGUACUGCACACACUGCCUGGCCGUGGCCCUAAGUGACUUGUUUGAAGUUGCCCUGGAAAUCAGUGACAUUUAGGUAAUUAACUGGAGCUCCCUAAUUUCUCAGCUGGGACUCUAGGCGUUGGACUAUCCUUCUUCUCAAGUUAUAUCCACAGAUACACAGUGGUGAAUGCAUUCAGUUUGGAUCGAAGAUUUGCCAUUUGGGUGGGCUCCAUCUCACCUAAUUUUAGCCACUUUCAAGUUAGAUAAACUGUUGAAUGCCGCUUCCUCUACUCCUUAAUGAGAAGAGAGACGCUCAUGUGGCAGACUGCCCAUCUCACCUAUUUUAGUCUAACAUUCAGGUGGUCAAAGCUGAACAAGAGGGUUUCUACUCUUAACAUAGAAAUGACACCUUACACCCCUUCUCAAAGGUGCUUAUCUUCUUCCCUCUGUCAGUCUUUAAUAUUCGCUGGGUUUUAGGCUGCAAUUAGCAUUUUGCCCUGCGAGAGUGGGGAGAUUAGUGAUGCCGUGUGACCUGUGAUUCUUCAUGUGCUGGAGACAGGAAGAGAUUUACUGUGAUAAUAGUGUCUGUGAGUCCUGCGGAUGACAGGCAGGGUGAAUUCAUCUGAGUACAUGCAGUCGUCUAAUACGGUGAUGUCUCCAUUUGCGCUAAUACUUCUGCCCCGGGCUCCCUUUAGAGCCAGGAGAAACCUAAUUGAUGCAGCCAGUAGAGUCUAGAGCUUGAUACCUCUCAUGCUAAAUUAGGUGUCUGUGUUUAGCCAGAAUUAAUCUCACCAUGGCAGUGUUGGUUUCUUUCAAUGAAAUGGGCCCUCAGUGUCAAGCUCGGAUGUUGAGCUCUACACGGGAAACUUCUAAGCUGAGGCAAAGUCAAUCCCACCUCAUUAUGGCCAAGAAGUCUUAGAAUUCAUCCCUUUGCCCUUCAAGUCAUUUGGGGAAGUCUAAUUUUGUUUGCCCUAGUGGCAUUGAAGCAAAGGUUUCUGUGUCUAGAACACAUGAAUCUGGUGAAGAAGAGCCCUGAUCACAAGGCUGUUGAGCCCAUGUAGGGAGGACAAGGUCAGUGUUGGCAGUCUGUCUUCAUUUGGUCGUGUGGCACAGAAGGAUCCAACAAAUAUGUUGUUUGGAGGUCGCAGUGGUGAGUGAAGCUAUGGACUGGUACCUUUGCCAGAGAAGAAGCCUUACAAUGUUCAGGAUGAGAAUGACUGAAAAAGAGGUUUCUUGCAAGCUUUGAUAACAGUUGUUGCUUAUGUAAAGAGCAUCUUGAGCUCCAAAAUACCAUACAGGUGAUGUGAAACAAGGACGUAAAUAAACCAAUAAACACCUUUGGAUUUUCCUGGAAUUUGAGUCCCACCAUGCCCCAAAUUUUCUAAAGAGAAUCAAAAGAUGUGGUUCUUCCUUCGUCCCUGCAUGGACAUUUAGUCUGUGAGAAAGCACUUCACCCGUUGUGCAAUUUCAUUAAAUACUGUAGGUGGAAAAAUUCAGGGACAAAAUAUUUACGUUCAGUGCAGUUUAUUGAAGGCACAGUGAAAAGCUGGAAAGUUUGAGAAGUCAAUGAAAGAAGCUCUGGUUAUCUGAAUACAAGAUGUCAAACUCAGAAGCGUUAUGCACCAAUAACUUCGAGAAACUUUCCUUAGUAUUUCUGGGGCGGGGAUGAGCUCUUCUAAAAAUCAGCAUGCUUUAAACUAGCCACCCCUAACAUGCAGAAGCAAAUGAAAGUACUAUGUAUUCAUCUGUAAGCAAAUUCCACAAAAAGCCUAUGGCUGCAGUGUAAAUAGCAGGCGCUUUGAAAAUUGAAAUUGCCUUGUUUAAAAUUGGAGCUCAGACUUGCGGCUCAGGGUUUCUUCUUGGACAAGAAAAGCAGCAUGCUCUUUGCGGUGCCUUCUGGGAAAGUUAAAUCAUCACUCUCAUUUCUGAAAUGCUUUGGGAGGUGCUGCAAGAAAAAGAGGUGUCUUGUGGGAAAGAACAUCAUUAAUGAACCUGCUGGUUAUAGGAAAAGCCAGAGAGAGAGAAGGCAGUGCAACAAGCAAACCCUUCAAGCUGCAAUAAUCUAGACAGUAUAAACUUGAAGCACUAAUGCUGUGUUGAGCGCCUGUUGGAGAAGCUUGCUAGAGAUGGCUCUUUAGGUUUGGGGAUUCUGAAAACCUAACUCGGUGGGGUAUAUAUGUGAUGCUAAUGAGGGCUUCUACAUGGGAAUGGACUCUUCAUGAAUGUUACUCUUAGUGGGCAGAGAAUUUAUUCUGCAUCGUUUCAGGUGUAGGAACCACGUGUCUAAGCGCUGCACUCUGAUGUUCCUGGUUGUGCCGCCUGCGUGGCUGUUGGCCUACGGAACAACACACGGGUCUCUGACGACCCCCAAAUUCCCCACCGCUCCGUUGCUGCACCCCACAGCCUCAGGGCUGUUAGCCACGAUGACUGGAGAGCCACUCAACUGCCUGAUGACGCAGCCUUGGUUUCCAAAGCUGACCACACCACCGGCCUGGCAAGCGCCAAUUCUAGCAUUCAAGCCCCCGCUUCCCGUGCUGAUGACGGCGCGGGCUGGGUAGCCCCCGCUUCGGGAGCUAAACCCUCCACUUUUGCAGUUGGCCCCUCCGGCUUGGCAAAAGACCUCUGGGACACACGGCUUGGCCGCAGAGCUGACGACUCUCCUUGGGUUAAUCCCGGCGCUCCGGGAGCUGAAUCCUCCAGUCGGGGAGCUGUGUCGUCCGGACCGUCUCCCCAGGGAGCCGUAGCCACAUGCAGCCCCGCUUCCAGGCAGCACCCCACAGUCUUCGGGGAUAUUGUAGCCGCUGCUGACCACAGCUGCAAGACAGCCCACAAGAUUAAUUAUUUGGAGAGAAAAGCUGGAACGCUCCAUAGGCAAGUUGUUUCAUGAAUGACAGAACCGACCAAACCUGAUUUCCUCUAGGUUUGUCCAACAUACCCGAGCCCCUGAGCUCCCACCUCCUCCCCCGUGUCCCAGCACAUCCCCUCACAGAACCUCCCAGUUCCCACAUUGCUCAUCUCUCCGGCAACAUUUGCUCUCUCUGAUCCAACGCACAUGUGUGCAUUGCCUGAUGAGCUAGCGGUUGCCCCCAAAAGUAGACAAGAGCGUGAAUUUAAACUUCCCCCUCCACCCAAAUGCCAAUUUUCUUGAAAUUUGGAGGUACUUGAGAUUCUGGGGACAAAAACUUCACUGUCAAACUGGGUUGAAAUGGAAAAGGGAAUCGAUAGCAGAGGGAGCCAGGACAGACAGAUAAUGCUGUUUCAUAAACUGCCUUUCCUAAAAUGAGCCUGGAGACACUCAUAACUGGAGUAACUGUAAAUCUUCAGAUUACUUACACACGCUCACCGGGGUCCCCGCACAUAUCCUGUUAGAGGAGAGAAGAGAAAGGCGCGUUAUCCUAUUAACUGGUUGUACAUCUGGAAACUUGAAAUUACUCAUAACUGCCAGCCACAUAUCCAGCCCUCUUGUCUCUUAAUCCCUUGCUGCAACAUGUCUCACUAUCCCUAGGACAGGAACUGGUUUUGCUGGCACAGCGGUUGGACUGCAUGGCCUCCAGCCAUCUCUCCAGACCCGGUUUCUAUGAGUCUGGGAGUAUCCUGGAGCUGCUAAGUUCACUUGGGUGCUGGAAUGACUCGGACCUGUAACUCUGACAUCCAGGGGAAAAGGAACAAGCUCUCUGUCACCCACCUGCUCUCUUCGCCCUCCAGUAAAGUCUUAUAUGUUGCAAUCUCAAUAUCCAGGGCCAGCUUGACAUUCAGCAGCUCCUGGUAAUCCCGCAGCAUGCAAGCCAGCUCAUCCUUGGCCUUCUGGAGGGCGUUCUGCAGCUCAAUGUGUUUCUCCCGGGCGUCUUUCAGGGCACAGUCCCCACGCUGCUCAACAUCGCAGAUGGAGGUUUGCAGACAGGUGACCUGUCAGAGGAGAGGAUAAAAGUGCGGGUGUCUUCAGUGCCUUAUUCCCUGAUUCAUGGGAAUUCAUUCUGCCCUUGGAUUAAUCAUUUUUUUCAGCUGCAAACUGAGAAAAAGCCCUAACUCCUCUGGAGCGAUUUCUGGAUUUGGGACUUAGCCUAGAGUAGGUCUUUAGUCUACUAAGGGCAGAUGUGUUAUCCUCACCCAUAUUUCAGCUGUCCUGCAAGACGUAGCCCCUUCUGCAAGCAGCAUCUCUGGGUCUCACCUACCUGCUUCUUCACAUUCUCAAGUUCACACUGCAACUUCUGUAUCAUCCUGGUAAGUUCUGAAAUCUCACACUUGUUGCUUUGCAGAUCAUUGCAAUACUUGCCCCUUUUAUCCUGAAGCUGCUGAAACUGGAAUCGAGAAACAAGACAAUCAUCAGUUCAACCCUGCAGCCCAUUAAGUAGUCUGGCUGAGACCCAGGUCCUUCCUUACCUUGGUUUGGUAGAAAGCAUCAACUUCUUCUUUGCUCUUCUGAGCUAUUUCUUGGUACCAGUAUUCGACAUUCUUAAUGAUGCUUUCCAUGUCCAGGUCUCGGUUGUUGUCCAUUUUCACGAUGACCGAAGUGUCGCAUAGCUGGCGAUCCACCUGCGCUCGUUCCUACAUGUUGGGGAAUGGCUUAGUCAGCUGUUAGCAAUUCUCAGACUUUGUAGUGAAGGAAGGGCUGGAACAAAGAGCCACACUGCUCAGCUGAUGGAUAGAACAAGUCAAGAAAUGUCCCUCAGGUUGGCUUAGCAGAAAAUCCUCCCUGCUGGAUGAGUUACCACAUGUCAGCUGCUGACCUACAGCAGUUCUGUCCACAUCAAGGGCAAGGAAUUUGAGUGACUUAGUCCUGUCAUUAACAUCAGUCAAACGGCUGAAGAUGACAGGAUGCUAAAGGUUAAGUUGGGAGUUUCUUUAGCUCUGAUCGGACAACUGCAAUCCAGAGUAACUAGACAGACUCAUCUCAUCCUCCAGAGGUAGAGUUAGGACACAGCCAGUUUCUAUCCGGAGCUGCACUAAGAAAGGGGGCUUUCUCUGCCUAUCCAACAUCAUAGUGUUAGUUUUAUGUCAAUCUUGCAGUUUCAUGUUUUCAAAUAUUCAGCGCUCUUAGAAGUGACUGUCCAACAGGGAUUUCAAGCGGCAGAAAUUUGGACCACCUGAAGGAUGAGACAGCACCAGCCUUGGGGGACGGACCAGAGGAACUCACCUCCUCAAACACACAUUUCAACAACUCCAACUGCCUUCUUAACAGAUCCACCUUCACCUCCAGCUCUUCCUUGUUCAAAAAGAUACAGUCUGCAUCCUGAAAGAGAUGAGACGCGUUCCAGACCAAGCUCGCUAAAAACACCGGAGAAACACACAGAAGACAGAUGCGGUGCCAAUAAAACAGAAACCUGUUUCAACAAGAUUUCAAGAGCAGAAAUGUGCGAGAGGCUGAGUCAAGAUGCCCUGGUGUCUUCUAAAGGAAAACAAACCCAUUAAAACAUGACUGAAAGGGAUUAGUUUAUUUAUUACAUAGGAUUUAGCUACAAACUCAGCAGUGACUAAUGAGUAUUUAAAUAUAAUUUUUAAGUAUUGUUCAGAUGGUUUCUCGCUUUCUGAUGUCCAGGUAUAAAGGAGCUGAAGAAGCUGUCAGGAGAUAACCAGUAUCUCAGACACCAAAUAUGCUGGUGUAACCUCUCCCACUGUGUCUAUUCCAGAUGGACCCUUGCGUGAAAAUGUGUUUGGGGGAACAAAACUACUGCUGCAAUGCUAAUGCUGUUAGCUUGGAGGACACAUUAUUUUUUUCUUUCCACUCCCAUCUUCCUCUUUUUCUGACCCUGUGCUUCUUUACAGCCCUCCCGCUUUCCACUCACUGUAACACAUUUUCCCAGGCACCUUCCAAUAAUGUACAUUUUCAGCCAGGCUUUACGCCAGAUAAACUCGUGGCAGGUGUAAUCAUCCAUCUGUUUGGAGCUUCUCACCUUUUUGAGUGUCACAAACUCAUUCUCUACAGCUGUACGUCUGUUGAUUUCCUCUUCAUAUCUGUUGGAAAAGGAGCAGGAAAGGGCUGAACCAAGCGUUACCAUCAGACACACAGGCACGAUUCAUCUGGAAAAAUAACGACCUUUGCUUGCUCAGAGACUGCCAUCAGGCACCGUAAGACCAGUGUCUGGAGACCAAGCAUCAGACUGUCCAAAGAUCAGAAGCUCGUUCACAAACAACAGUAUUAACAAUGCAAAGAGUUACCAAGUGAGAGAGAGGAAUCUGACAUCCCCAAAGGGGAUUUGCUGCAUGUCUGAGAGAAGUUCCCUGAGAUAAAAUAUAGACGUGAAAUGACAACAGCCACAGGAAACCUUAAAGCCCUUACUUGCACUUGAACUCCUCCACGAGCUGGCUCGUGGCACACUCUUCGCUGCCCAGCUUUUGCUUCUCGCAUAACAAGCAGUCCAGGCGCUUCCGUAGGUCACAGAUGUAACUCUCAAAGUAGAGUUCAAGGUUUUUCCCUUUCUUUGGUAGAACGUGUUGCUGCAAGAGGCCCCAUUUGGUCUCCAGCACUUUGUUCUGCUGCUCCAGGAAUCGGACCUGCAGACCAAAAAGUAGCAGUUGUUCGAAUAAAGAAAGAAAAUCCAUAACUCAAAACCUGAUUUAGCUGUCUGCUCUCACGUUGGAGUCAGAUAAAGUACAUCUUCCUGCAAGUGUAAGAAUAGGAUUUUUUGGAAAAUGAGAAGUGAUAUGCCAUAAUGAUCACAAAAUUGUCUGCCCUUAUUUAAAAUCCAGAAGUUAGAUGUCUAAAUCUGAGCUGACUCCCUUUCUCACCAAUGAAAAGAAAUAAAGCUCCUCCAGAAGGUGCCUAUGAUGUAUUCCAAGAUGAGAUUGAGUCCCCAGCUGAAGGGACCUGUUUGUCUCUUUUCUCUACAGGAUCCUAAGGUGGUGGCUCAGAUGUCUAACAUUUAGAUAGAAGAAUUACAGUUAAUCUCCUCCAUCUUUAGAAAUGUUUUUGGAACAGUUGCUAUAUUUAAAGAUGGGAAAAGCAAAUUGAAUAUAGGACAGAAAAAUGAGCUCAUCAGAAUUGUAACUUUUAGCUGAGAUAGAACAAGGCUGCAAGGAGAAAGCCAACCUUGAAUUCAGGCUGUCCAGAGAGAGGUAACUACAAGAAAGUUCAGUGCUCCUAUGGCCAGAAUACAGACACUAGCAAGUACUGAGUUUCUCCAGCACUGAAGAUCACAGCCUGAAGAAACAUGGCUCUGUGGGAAUCCAGAGCCUUGCAUGGAUCUAACGCAGUGAUGCCUGGCAUGAGCUGGACUACUUUUUUUUUUCUUUUUAUUCUCAGAAAAGUGCAAGUAGGGAACAGAUUGCACUCACCUUGUCAAUGAAGCAAGCAAACUGGGUGUUGAGGGUCUUUAUCUGUUCCUUCUCCUGACAGCGUAUUUCAUGUUCCAGCGGGUCGACCCCAACACAGAGGGGCUUUAGGAGCCUUUCGUCAAUGCAGAUACCUUGGAUACCAUCAGCCUUGCGAUCUGGGUAACCUCGCACGAUACUGUAUCCCCUAGGGCCACAGAGGCCAACCCUUCCUCCGACACUACCAUAGCCUACACCUCCGUAGCCGAAAUCCCCAUAGCAUCCAGUACUGCAGACCCCGUUCACGUGGGAAAUUCUUCUGUUUCCACCUAGGUUACAGACGCUCCUGCUGCUAUAGGCACCAGCUCCGCGUCGGACAGGUUGGCAGGCAGAGGCCGCAUAGCUUCGACCACAAAUCUCAGAAGCUGAGCUGAAGCCUCUUCGUCUGAGGACGGAUCUCGCUGCUCAUUUUGGGUGCGGAAACACAACCAAAAAAAGAAAAAAGAAAAAAAACAACUGUGGAAAAACACCGUGGAAGCUGUGCAGUGGCAGAUGGACCACUUGCGUGCCUGAGACACCAGUGAAUUUACUGAGUUACGGGUCGGGAUUCACAGGCAAGGACUCGAAACAGGCUCCCUCUCCCCCCAAAACACUCCCAUGCGACAUUUCACAUUGACCUUCUCUUACUACCAAGAAACUGAGGCACAUUUCAGCUUGCUGUUGUCACUUGAAUAAUAUUACAGAUUUUUAACCUCAAGUGCCUAUGUUGCACUUAAAUUUUGGCCCUUGCUAUAUUGGAGCUUCUACCCUGCUGGAUGUCAGAGAACUUCUUGCUUUAUCAUUUGGUAAUUGCUAGAGGUAACAAAAAUGGAGCAGUAGCACAUUUCAGGCUAGUGAAAUUCAUCUCAUUCAACAAGCAACACCUAAAGUUGGGUAGCUUUGCCAAACACAUCCUUGACAGUCAGUGGCGAGGCACCUUCAAGAGAGCCACAACCACCUUUGGGUCUGAGGCUAGGGGAACUGGGGUGAUUCAUUCUCUGUAGGUGGUGAUCUUUCUCCAUCAAUAGAGGAAGUCUCAAUGAGUAGGUUAGCCUGGGCACCUGAGGUGGUGACUCACAUUGGUAAGAUGAAGCUCUCUCCAAAGAGGUGAGACACUGAACCUCUCUGCCAGCUGUCUCGAGCGUUUCUGGGGGCGUUCUCCAAACUGACAACUGGAGAUUCAAAACAAUAGGACUCUCUGAGAGCAAAGUGCUCAUGAGAGAAGGAGCCAUUACAGUGCACACUCAACUAAAUGCCCUCAGCCCUUCCUGACUGAAGGGGAACUAUGCCCAGAGAAGGCUGCAUAUUAUGCAUUUUAUGUGACAGCGGACAGUAUCUGGAGACAACUGGUAACUGUGGUCACUCAUCCUUGUUAACCCCCUCCAAAAGCAUUUUCCAAGAGUGAGGAUCAGGCAGUGCAAAUCACAAAAAUAAUGCUAAACUUAGCGGGCCAUAGGACAUGAUUACCACACUGAGCUGCACCAGGCUAUUAAUUGAACAUGUAAUUGCAACAUAUGUGAGUUGGAGGGGCUGUUGGUACAAAUUAGUUGUGUUAACUGAUGCUCUGGCCCUAUACAAGUGGGAUAAUUCAACAUGUUUCAGAUUACACCUUUGUUGUUAAUAUUUUUGGCUCACAGUUCAUACUGGGUUGCCAGUACAAUUGGCAAUAUCAGUUAAAACAUACAUUUGGCAAAUAUUAGUGAUUUCAAGCUAAAGCUUGUAUAGUCAUAAGUUCCCAGAGCCUUUAAGUUCUGCAUAAAGAUUAUCAAAAGUGAAAUGCAUGUUUGACUCCAAAGAAACAGCACAAAAGGCAAUUGUUUCAGCUCUUUCACUCAGUGAGAAGUAAUACAUGCUGUACAUAGGAAAAUAGUGUCCUGAAUCAGUCAGACUGAAAGCUAGUGAGCCAUUGCUCCCUGUUUGCACCCCAUCAUACAUGUAGGCUGUGUGGGAGACUCUCGGAACAUAUCAUAGUCUACAAUUAAUAGGCUGUGAACCAACUACACAUCAGCAGUCCCAGUUCUAAAACAUCUCACCAGAGCCACUGGCUUCAUGAAUGGUAAGAGAUUUUUGCAGUAAGUUAUCCAGUGUUGAGUAACAUUUCUGUGUUUGCCAAACUCUUGAUGUUGCUAGUGAAUCCCAGUGUGAAGGCAGCUAUAAAGAAGGGUCAUUUAAUGUCUUUCAGGUCUUUCCAAGGGACAUUGAGUGUUUCAUUGUUCUAAGUAGAUGUUAGUACAUGAGAUCUCAGGAACCAACAGGAUUAUUUAUUAUUUUGAGAGUGGACAUGGAAAAUGGGAGAGUACUUUAAAGCAAAAAAUUACAUCUUUUUCACUCAAAAAAAAAGGGAUUCAUCAUCUUUCAUCUUUGGGGGGGGGGGGAACUGAGGAAGAAAUGAAGGAAAAUAUUUUGAUGAGGGGUUAAUGAAUCAUUUCUGUCCACUUGCAAUCUCUCCCUUUGUCAGCAUUCUUCUCCUUGAAUGUGUUGCUGAAAAUGGAAUUUGUUAUGAGAACAUGUGAAGUUCACUAAUCUGUUUACUGCCUCUGGAGAUGAAUCUAAACUAGCUGUUAAAAGUGUAUUUUAUGCGAUAGUCUCAAAGAAAGACCCAUGUAAUUAGACACAGACAUAGAAAACUCAUUUCAUUCAGAUAGGACAAUAGCAAUAACCUACCCCUGCGAACAGCAUUUAACAGCUAUAGGGUUGGGUGGCAAUAUGUGUUUUUUGCACACACAAUUUCAUGGACUAUAUAGACGCUUGUGUAUGAUGUCGUUCAUGUGGUGUUAAAGAUCAGAUUUGAUUAACACAUCCUCAUCCCCUUGUAUUCGAAAGCCAAGGUUGUCCAAAGAGAUUCAAUAUGGUAAUGUACUCUUUUUUCUCUCUUUAGCCUACAUCUGUUAUAUGGUAGAAGCAGAGACAGGGAUUUUCAAAGGAUAUUCCUCAUAAAAUUCAUCAAACACUGGGCCUGGAUUCACCUCCCUUCCCAACUUCAGCCAUCAAACUAGCUGUGUAUUCUAAUUUCAUCUUUGAGACUGCCUCUAUGGCUAAUGGAAAGAGUUAGAUAGCCAUCUCCAGACGGUGAUUCAUCACAUCCUAAAAUAGGCAGCUAAGACAGGUGGGAGGAAUCAACCUCUGGACGUACUUACUCUCUUUAUUGACUACCAGAGGCAGUCUAGACAACCAGACAGCUAGACCAGGCGCCCAACUUCUGGAUGGUUAAAGUUAGGUGAAAUUAGUCCCACCCUUUGGGUCCCAAAUUUCUUUAGCACAUUUGAAGUCUUAAUGAGAGUACACAACAUCACAUGCUCUCUAGAGUUCCUCAGUUCCUGAUGCAUGCAUAUCAUAUCUCUGUGCAGUGAUUAGUGCAUGUAAAUUUGAGGCUUGCAACAAAGCAAAAGGAUUGUUUUGAUCUUUUUCGUGAUGCUGUCUUCCUCCCACAGAAUUACACAGUGGAAAUAAAUGUGGGAAGUAUGGGAAUCCAGGGCCUUGAAUAGGAUAGCAUCACACUAUCUGUUAAAGCAAAGAAUUUAGAGAAGGGGGAAAAAGUUACUCUUGAAAUGUUGCCGCUGGUACUAGGCUAUGGCAGCUUCCCUGUAAAUCUACACUGCCUCUCAGCAUUUCUUGUUGGAGUUAUAUUCUUGGGCAGAAAAGUUUCCCUGAGCCAUAGAGAGGGAAGGAAUUGCCCAUGGAAGUUGGGUAGGAUCCUUCUGGGAAGCAUAUUCAGCUGGUGCCCAAGCCCAUGUUUGACUGGAUUUGUGUAGCUUUGUGACGUACUGAUGAAUUUCUGAUGAAAUGCCCAGCUGAUUUAUGAAGUACUGAUGUUCACAGAGGCUGGUCACAGGUUUAAAGGAAAACACUUGUUAAAUUAACUUAUCAGAUCAGGGUCUUGAACUGGGGGGGGGGGGG